CCGGAGCUGGCGGGCGGUCGGGUCGCACGCGGUGCCGGCGCGGCGGCCGGUGGUUUCGAUGGCGGGGCGGGCUCGGCCGCCGGUGCCUCAGG
rnacentral:tRNA from 1 species